CAGAGGAUGAGAUGGUUAGAUGGCAUCACCGACUCAAAGGACAUGAGUUUGAGUAAACUCUGGAAGUUGAUGAUGGACAGGGAGGCUUGGCAGCACGACUGAGCCACUGAACUGAACUGAAGGGAAAACUACUUCUCUACUCACAACAUUCUGACCUCCAAAUGAGUGGAGUCUCCCCUCAAUAUUAGUUAGGCCAGCCAGCGGGCCUCCAGAUAACGUCACAAUGACUUGCCUCAAACUGUCUUCUGGAGACCACUGUGAGAUUUUCUUUGCAAUAUAAACAUUCCCAGGAGCAAUACUCUCCACUGACAGGUAUCUUGUAUUUUAUCUGGCAACCCUACCUCCAGUUAAACAAUUAAAUUCAAGAUGGUAUGGCCACUCUUCAGACUGGGGAAGAGGAUCAUGGAAUCAGCACAUGUCAGGAUUGGGAAAACUGCACACAGGCUUGGUUGGAAGUAAUGAAAUAUAUUUAAGAAGUCUGUACACAAAAAUUACAAUAAACAUUUAUUAAGAUGUAAUUUUCACAAUAUUUUAAUUCUGUUCUGAAAUUGGCCUACAAAUAUCUCUACGUAACACCAAAGCCAGUGAU
rnacentral:lncRNA from 1 species